AUUGAACGCUGGCGACGUGCUUAACACAUGCAAGUCGUGCGAGAAAGUAGACUUCGGUCUAUGAGUAGAGCGGCGCACGGGUGAGUAACGCGUGGAUGAUCUACCCUUGAGUUCGGGAUAACGGAACGAAAGAUCCGCUAAUACCGUAUAACAAUCCAUUUCAACGUGGGUUCAAAGCAGGCCUCUUCGUGAAAGCUUGCGCUUGGGGAUGAGUCCGCGUCCCAUUAGCUUGUUGGCGGGGUAACGGCCCACCAAGGCAACGAUGGGUAGCUGGUCUGAGAGGAUGAUCAGCCACACUGGAACUGAGACACGGUCCAGACUCCUACGGGAGGCAGCAGUGGGGAAUAUUGCGCAAUGGGGGAAACCCUGACGCAGCAACGCCGCGUGAAUGAUGAAGGCCUUCGGGUUGUAAAGUUCUGUCUUCUGGGACGAUAAUGACGGUACCAGAGGAGGAAGCCACGGCUAACUACGUGCCAGCAGCCGCGGUAAUACGUAGGUGGCAAGCGUUGUCCGGAUUUACUGGGCGUAAAGGAUGCGUAGGCGGACAUUUAAGUCAGAUGUG
rnacentral:rRNA from 1 species